GCGUUGAUGGUUCAGUGGUAGAGUUUUCACCUCCCAUGCAGGAGAUCUGGGUUUGAUUCCCAGCCAAUGCA
rfam:Loxodonta africana unplaced genomic scaffold scaffold_4, whole genome shotgun sequence.